AAGACGUCGACGCGUGAUGUCGAGCGGCAGAAGCCGGUCGUGGCCGUAGGCGUGUCAUCGCCGGUGAGUUCUAGCAAGCAGCACAAUCUGGCAGAGGCAGAAGAUGGAACCGUUUCAGCUAAUGGUGUUAUGCAGCAGAAGCCUGCCGCAGAUUGGAAUGGUUUUGUGCAUUGCAUGGAUACUGCUUCCCGGAGUGAAGAGAUGAAUCACUCUCUCCAGAAAUAUGACAUUCAUUUGGAUGGCAUAUAG
rnacentral:lncRNA from 2 species